rnacentral:lncRNA from 1 species
CGCUUCUCCAUGCCCCAUCCUAGUAGAUAGUGUCGUUACCGAGGGCCACCAUUGCCGCAAGGGAGAAAAGGAAGCUGACGACCGCCGCUGUUGGCCCACAUCCUCGUCUCGGUGCUGACCUGGGGAGCUGUGGGCAAGCGAGGAUAUAGUCAGCGCCCAGGGAACUCGUACCAUGGGAAGUUGGGCCUCUGGUGAUCGCGGAUGGGUGGCAAUUUCUCGCCGAGGUUGAUCUCCGCCGCAAAACCAAACCUCGACGUGGUCAGAUCUUCUACCACACCAAUCUCCGGUAAAUCUUUGACCGUUGUGUUGACCUCGUUCUCCUCCAUGCGUGGCACUAAUUAGGGUAGGUUUUGGUGCACUGGCGCGACGGAGGGCAGGGACUCCGGCGGGUCAUGGCCACGUCAGUGAGCGGCGCCGUCGCGCGUCUGGUACAAGUGAAGAAGAUGGCGCUGCUCCGUCCGAUCCGAUCUAUGCGGUCUGGAGUGCUCGGACAUAGCGCUUCGAUUUUAUUAAAGCUUGGCCGUGCGAUCUUGAUCGGGUGGCCGAGGAUUGGAUUAAGCGUUGGCGUAACGUUGUUCGUCGAUCUCUGAUCUGGCGGUAGUGGGUUCGUACCGGUUAUAAAACGGAUGGUUUAAUCUUGGCGGUCCAAUACAGAUCGAACGGCUCUGGUUGCUUCUUACCUCUUCGUCGUUGGUUUGUUUUCUUAAGAGCCCCUGGAGAUCUUAAGAAUCUACCCGUAGUACUACUCAGGUAUAGCUGUGUCUGGGAAAACUUAUAUCUUGGCCCCUGUCCUUUCUGGAAUUUGACGUCCAGUCCAGUGAACCAAGAAAAUAGUAAAAAUAAUAUAGUAAAUAAUUUUUAGUACAUAAAUAAACCCAGAAACUCAAUAAAUUCAUAGCAAAUUUAUAUUAAAUUCUUUUUUGUCCGUUCCAGUUCCUAUAAUUUUGUAUUAAUAUUUUAUAUUACUUAGUAGCACUGUUUUAUCAUGAAAACCCUACUAGAAUUGAUUACUCAAUUAAUUUUGUAGCAAACACAUACGAACUUCGAAAAUCCAUAACCUCUUCGUUUUAAAUCCGAUUUAACCCGUUCCAGUUGUGUUAGCUUCUUAUAAAUAUUUACUAUGCAGUAACAACAUUGAUUAUACCAUGUAUCAUACUUUUAUAAUUAGAUAUUUAUUUAUUCUAUGAUAAUUGGAUUAAUCUAUGUCUAUUGGAUUAACUUCUGAUCUUAUGGUUAUAAUUUGACUAGAUGACCUUUGGUCAAGUAAUGACUUAGAUUAAAAUUGGGUUAACUAAUUAUAAGAUAUUCUCUCAUAUGAUGUAUACUAACCAAUUUAUAUUAUAGUUUAAUAUUUUAAUCACAUAGAUCUUCUAUAAAAUCAUAACUCCUUAAUCGUGACUCCGAUUUUAGUAAUUCUUGUUCCUACGAUCUCGUAGCGACACGUAGAUUAUUAUAACACAGUUUAUUCUUAUGUUUGGUGUGAUGUUAAUUUUUCCUAUACAUGUUUGUUUGUAUUGCUACGACUAGCAGUGAGGUCACGUGUCACCUAAAGAGCAAGUUGGUACCUGGAAUCUCAAGUCCUAGGCAAGUUGUGCCCUUGAUCAUUUCUAUUUACCCAGUCAUGUUCUAAUUAAUCAUAAUGAUCUGCAUAGGUUAAUUUUGAUGGGACCCAACAGGUUACCCUAGUUUGAUUAUCUUUAUACCUCGACUCCACUAAACUUUUUGGGUAGUACCUGCUAUUGCUUUAUGUGGUUUUGGGUAUGAAGAUUACACUAUUCAUGAUUAUACUUUUGUUAUCAGUUGUUAUUUAUUGUUCAUGUUAAGAUCAUUAUGUUAAUUAGAACAUGGAGAACCACCCGGGAAAACAGUGCUACCACAAGGGUUUAUGGACGCCCUUGGCUGAUUAACUAGGAAAGCUAGUGGAUGAUUACCUUACCCGAAAAGGGCAAGGGCAAUAGGGGAGUGGUCAGUGUAGGGAGGUCCUUGGUUGAUUUUGCUGCGAUGGCGGUCAGUCGAGGGACUCCUGCACUGGAGCUUCCUAUAAACUGUAGCGGGUUUUCUGAAGCUAGUGGAACUUUGUAAAUGCCUCGUAGUGUUACCCUGCCUCGCCUCCUCGGUAGAGGUGUAUGGGAUUGGCCGUCUCUUGGCAGAUGGGUAACAUGACUUGUGGGUAAAGAUGCGCAACCUCUGCAGAGUGUAAAACUGGUAUACUAGUCGUGCUCACGGUCAUGAGCAGCUCGGACACUCACAUGAUUAAAUUAUGGAACUUAAACUCAAUUUGUCAUAUGCAUUGCAUCGCAGGUGAAGUUGUUACUUUUGUUCUACUACUUAAUUGGGUUGGUAUUUACUUAUACUUAGUAAUUGCUAAUAAAAUUUUGACCAACUUUAAAAGCAAUGCUCAGCUACAACCAUUCUCUUUGGUAAGCCUUACACUUCACAUGAGCUUCCAUCUUUGGCGAGAUCAUGCACAUUAUUCUCCACAACUUGUUGAGCUAUGAACAUAUGUGAGCUCAGUCUUGCUGUCUCACACCCCCCCAUAGGUCAAGAACAGGUACCACAGGAUGAGGCGCAUGGAGGAUGCUGCGAUGUGUUCGUGAGAGGUCUAGACCGUCGUCUCCCAGUCAACUUUGGGUUGCUGGACCGUUGUCUCCUUAUAAUGUAAUUAUUUAUUUAUUUUGUACAGAACUCCUAUUAUAUAGUAA